rnacentral:rRNA from 1 species
GAGAGGAUUACCCCCCACACUGUACUGAAGACACGGACCAGACUCCUACGGGAGGCAGCAGUGAGGAAUAUUGGUCAAUGGGCGCAAGCCUGAACCAGCCAUCCCGCGUGAAGGAUGAAUGCCUUAUGGGUUGUAAACUUCUUUUCUGAUNGAAGAAAUCUCUGGGUCGUGACCAGGGUUGCCGGUACAUCAGGAAUAAGCAUCGGCUAACUCCGUGCCAGCAGCCGCGGUGAUACGGAGGAUGCAAGCGUUAUCCGGAUUUAUUGGGUUUAAAGGGUGCGCAGGUGGCUUUGUAAGUCAGUGGUGAAAGUCUGCCGCUUAACGGUAGGAUUGCCAUUGAUACUGCGKRGCUUGAGUUUGGAUGAGGUAGGCGGAAUGAGUAGUGUAGCGGUGAAAUGCAUAGAUAUUACUCAGAACACCGAUUGCGAAGGCAGCUUACUAAUCCACAACUGACACUGAGGCACGAAAGCGUGGGGAUCAAACAGGAUUAGAUACCCUGGUAGUCCACGCUGUAAACGAUGAUCACUCGCUGUUAGCGAUACACAGUUAGCGGCUAAGCGAAAGCGUUAAGUGAUCCACCUGGGGAGUACGAUCGCAAGGUUGAAACUCAAAGGAAUUGACGG